rnacentral:sRNA from 1 species
GCCGGGCGUGGUGAUGCACGCCUUUUAUCCCAGCAUUGGGGAGGCAGAGACAGGCGGUUCUCUGAGUUCAAGGCCAGCCUGGUCUACAUAAUGAGUUCCAGGACACAGCUGGGGCUACAGGGAGACCCUGUCUCAAAAAGAUUGAAAAAAAAAAAACUAGGUCUCACUAUAGCCCUGGCUGAUCUGGAACUCAUGUAUAUAGACCAGGCUGACCUUGAACCUGCAGUCAUUCUGCCUCU